AGCUUGACCUUCUCGGUCUCUCCCAGUAGAUUCCUCAGCGAAGACCUUCACACCCGCAGGACUGGACCGAACCUCUGCUUUUUCAGAACCCACCGAGCGGAUCUGGUUCUGUAAUCAGACUUCAACACUUUUCUAAACCCCUGGCGUCGGUUCCGUUUGGAUCCUGCUACCCGUCUCCGCUGCCUCCUCUGCAGCUGGGUGUGUUUAGAGAGAGCAGAACCGGAGUUCGGCUCCUGUACCGCGGCGGUUCUGAGGAAUGAACCCGUCUGGACUGCGUCUGGACCGACACCAUGGAUUAUAAAGAGCUGGGGGUCCGUUUGGAGGAGAAGCUGACUCUGACGGACAAGACUCUGCCUCUGCCUGCAGACGCUCCGUCCCUCCAGAACCCAGACAAGAACCCAGAGAAAGACCUUCUGACGCCGGACGACUCGGCCGUCUCGGACCUCUCCCCUAAAACAGACUCCAAAACAGAGACGCCCACCAGGACCGAUGCCUCCUUGAAGACUGAAGCCCGGCCGUCAACGCCCGGCUCCAGCAGCAGCAGCCCCCAACCCAAGAAAGACUCCAUGAGCUCAGAGCAGCGACAGAAACUGGCCAAGGAGCGACGAGAGGAGCGAGCCCGGUACAUCGAGCAACAGACUCAGCUGCAAGCCGCGAAGAAGGCCCAGUGGCUGGAGAAGGAGGAGAAGGCCCGGCGGCUGAGGGAGAGCCAGCUGGAGGACCGGCGGAGGAAACUGGAGGAGCAGAGGCUGAAGGCGGAGAAACGCCGAGCUCUGCUGGAGGAGAAGCAGAGACAGAAACUGGAGAAGAACAAGGAACGAUACGAGGCGGCCAUCAAGAGGUCCACCAAGAAGACGUGGGCUGAGAUCCGCCAGCAGAGGUGGUCCUGGGCCGGCGGCCUCAACCAGACGUCCCGCAGAGAAAGCAGAUGCUCGGCCUCCACGGUCAACUUGCCCAGACAGGUGGACCCUGUCAUUAACAACAGGCUGUCCAAGUCCUCCGCCACGCUCUGGAACUCCCCCAACCGAACCCGCAGCCUGCGCCUCAGCCCCUGGGAGAGCCGCAUCGUGGAGCGGCUCAUGACGCCGACGCUGUCCUUCCUGGCCCGGAGCCGCAGCGCCGCCACGCUGCUCCACAGCGCAGACUCCCCCUCAGCCAGCCCCUUCAACUCCUGCUCACAUCAGCAUCAGAGCGCCGCCGAGCGCUGGCGGGUUUCCUCUGCCAGCACGCCGGACAUCACGCAGCGGCAGCGCCGACGCAACUCCACGCCGGUGGACAAGAAGAAGAAGGAGAAGAAGGACAAGGAGCGAGAGAACGAGAAAGAGAAGAACGCUCUGACAAAGGAGAGAGUGCAGAAGAAGAGACCGACGACAUCAUCACCAAACGCCACCGUCUCCAGGUCCAGGCCUGAGGGCAGCGCUCAGAGGCCCAGGAACAGACCUCCUUCCCCGGCCCCUAAAAGCCGGCCUCUGUCCCCUCUGGUGCCGGCGCCGGCCUCCAGGACCCCCGCGGGAAAGAAGACGCCGCCCCCGCCGGCCAAGACCCGACCCAAACGGGCCCAGACGCCGGCCAGAGUCCAGGCCCAGACGGUCUCUGCCGUCACCGUGGAAACCAGAGAUGAGCCGCCGCCGGCCGCCGGUCCGGAGGAGAGAAAGGCCGCCGGUACCGUUCCCGCCAUAGUGGUCUCCACCGCCCCGCUCACGCCGCCGUCUCUCAGCCCGCCCGUCGUAGCGGCGCCGUCGGCACCGAGCGCCCCGCCGGCGCCGGCCGCCCCGCCGGCGCCGGCCAGCAGGCCGUCGGCCGGCACCAACGACCCGGAGGAGGCGGCCCGCGCCCUGGCGGAGAAACGGAGGCAGGCCCGGGAGCAGCGGGAGAAGGAGGAGCAGGAGCGUGUGGAGCAGGAGCAGCGCAACAGGGUUCUGCGCGAGGAGGCCGCGGCCCGCGAGGCCGAGGAGAGGAAGCGCCGGGAGGAGGAGGCCCGAUUCAUGGCGGAGCAGGAGCGCCUGAGAGAUGAAGCCCAGCGGGCCGAGGAGGAGAAGGAGGCGCAGAGGAGGGCGGAGGCCGAGCAGGAGGAGAACGAGAGGCAGCAGAGACAGAAGGAGGAGGCGGAGGCCAAAGCCCGGGAGGAGGCGGAGCGUCAGCGCGUGGAGCGGGAGAGACACUUCCAGAAGGAGGAGCAGGAGCGGCUGGAGAGGAAGAAGCGCCUGGAGGAGAUCAUGAAGAGGACGAGGAAGAGCGACGCAGGAGAGAAGAAGGACGUCAGAGCGCCGGCACAGGUCAACGGCUCCGGGCUCAGUCAGGCUCCUGGGACCCAGCAGGGCCCCGGCCCGCUGGCCCCCGGCCCUCUGGCCCCCGGCCCUCCUCAGACCGGGCCCCUGGUCGUGAACGGAGUCCAGCCCGGCGCGCAUCAGAACGGCGUCUCGGCCGACGGCGAGCUGCAGCAGAUGAUGAAGAGCGGCCCGCAGCAGCAGCAGCAGCAGCAGGGGCCGCUGGUGGCUGAGCCUUACCUGAUGAAGCCGGGCGCCAUGAAGCCUCAGCACGUCGCAGAGGUCCUGUGAAGCGGCGUGGAGACGUGCCUCGUGCCAAAGCAGGAGGAGCGGAGGUUCUCUGUGGUUCUGCUUCUCCUGAGCCGUCACAGCCGGGCGGAUGGUUACCAUGGAGAUGACUGACUGUACCUGAGCUCUGAAGGUCCCCCACCUGACCCGGAGCAGCUGAUUCUCACUGUCGUUGUGGUGUUCUUCCUGUGACCUUCAGUUGAACUUUGUGUGUUUGCUGUUUUUUUGUCCUGAAUUGUCGAUUAUUUAACGUCAGCGGCGUCGUGCCGGCCGACCGCAGGUGUAAAUGUAAAAAAGAGCGGCUGCUUCCUGUCGCAGGAACCCUGUGAAUAAAUAAAGCUUUGAGAAAAGGGG